ACUUCUGGAUGGAUAAGCAAGUUCUUGACACACGGAAGCUUGUUAUAUCAAAGAAAUGUGGAAAACGAAUAAAUGUUUGGAUAAAAAUUUAGAAAAGAAUUUCCGACGAGAGCGUAUUUUUUAUUCGUAAAGCAGCGAUUUUGCUUUGAUUAUAACUUACCUCUAGGUGGCACAAUAUACAUUGUAGAAAUGGCGGUGCGCGGUGAAGACAGUAACAUUCUUUCUGGAGUAAAUAAUGUGAUAGUGGUUCUCUCAGGCAAAGGAGGUGUUGGCAAAAGUACCGUAGCAACACAGUUGGCACUGUCCUUGAGGAAAGCUGGGAACAAGGUAGCAAUACUUGA